rnacentral:lncRNA from 1 species
GCAGGGAUGAACACCAGCCCAGUGUGACUGUGGUGACUCAGAGCCACAGGCUGCUGGUGGCAGUCCCUUCUCUUGGAAAAGAACAUGCACCCUGCACUGCUGAGCACCUACUGUGUACCCAGAUGCUGAGCAGCUACUGUGCAGACCUCCUGCCCCAGGGCACUUUGGUUGGAGCAGGCCUGGGAUCUGGAGGGACCUCCUGGAGAAUCGCUGUGGUGGGGAGAGUCCUCUGGAGGUGGCAGGGCUGCUGGGGAGUGGCCUUCGUGAGGUUGGAAGUGCCCCUGAGGAUGGAGGGACCAGCUGGCCUGGGGACAGGAGCUCAGGAAGGGACUGAGGGUAGGAGGAAGGGGCUAGGGCAGGGAGGACCCACGGUUGAGCUGAGGAGCUGCCCCAGGGCCACAUGGCACCCAGGGGACGUAGUCUCAUCCCCAGUGACCAACAGCAGGGACUUUGCGAGUGGCCCCAGGAGAUAUGAUGACGCCAUCCUCUCACCCUGAUUCUCAGGGUAGGAGGCAGGAACUGAGAAAGCAGAGCACUGGCCCCACCCUAGCCCCAGCUGGGCGGGAGAGCCUGUUCAGGGGUUCAUGGCCCACCAGCUCAGAGCCUGCAAGGGAGGCAGCCUGAGGAGGCCACUGCACUUGGGGAACUUCAGUGGUUUUGGAGUAUCUUGGAAGUUUCCAUCCAAUAGAAUUUUAGAGAACUUUUAGUAGAAGGGAGAGAAGACUGAUUUUUACAUCUUGAAUGCUACUUCCCGCCAUCUGCUUGGCCAGGCUGCACUCUGGUGCUCAGGACUUGGUUUUGUCACAGCCACGGGGUGGCAGAAGUAGGUACUCAGCAUCUGAUGUCAGAUGAGGGAGACGGGGGCUGCGGAUGCAGAUGGAGGACCCCAGAUCCAACAGCAAACAGCAGAAGUGGCAGAGACCCCCACCCCUGAGCACCUGCACAGUGCCUGUGUGUUCAGCCACCCCUGAGCGAGGGUGGCAGGGCUCGCUCAUCACUGCGAGCAUGGCUGGGACCCGGCUCAGCAGGUGUUCUCUGUGCUCUGGCCCUAUCAUGCCCCUGAGCCUGCCAUCACCCGCGUGGGAGCACAGAGCCUUGCCCUGGAGAGAGCUAAGACCGCUGCCUCCUCCUCUGGCUCCUGCGGAGCAGAUCCUGUGCCUGGGAGGGCCACCAGUGUCACAGCACUGGCGGCAGAAGAGGAGCUGCUGGCCUCAUCAACCCAGGGAUCCCCAGACUCCCUAGAUGUGCUCUGUUCUCUUCUGGAAAGCCGUGUUCACAGAGCUCAGCAGAGCCCUGGCCGCACUGCUAGCUGUGUUCACAUCUGGUAGAACACCUGCACCCUAAAACACCACUGUGGAAAUCCAGCCCGUAAAUACUGUGGAGUCCACGAGUGCCACUCAAGGAGGACUUUCAAAACUCACCGCAGUAGAAUUCAAUGCCAUGAAAUUCUCCCAAGGUUAGCGCUCGGUCAUGUGGCCCACACCAUAAUCUGCUGCUAGAGUGCUUUGUGUCCUCAGAGACACCUGCUCUCACUCCCUGCUGCCCCCAGC